GCAGUCGUGACCGAGUGGUUAAGGCGAUGGAAUAGAAAUCCAUCGGGGUCUCCCCGCACAGGUUCGGAUCCUGUCGACUGCG
rfam:Ixodes scapularis strain Wikel colony gcontig_1108378642742, whole genome shotgun sequence.